rnacentral:rRNA from 1 species
CGGGGGGAGCAAGCGUUGUUCGGAUUUACUGGGCGUAAAGGGCGCGUAGGCGGCCACCGCAAGUCGACUGUGAAAUCUCUGGGCUUAACCCAGAAAGGUCAGCCGAUACUGCGGGGCUAGAGUGCAGAAGGGGCAACUGGAAUUCUCGGUGUAGCGGUGAAAUGCGUAGAUAUCGAGAGGAACACCUGCGGCGAAGGCGGGUUGCUGGGCUGACACUGACGCUGAAGCGCGAAAGCAAGGGGAGCGAACGGGAUUAGAUACCCCGGUAGUCCUAGCCUUAAACGAUGAAUGCUUGGUGUCUGGGGUUUUAUAGUCCCCGGGUGCCGUCGCUAACGCUUUAAGCAUUCCGCCUGGGGAGUACGGUCGCAAGACUG